rnacentral:rRNA from 1 species
UAUUAUAAGUUAUGUAAAUAUUAAAAUCAGGGUAGUAGUAGUUAUGAUCUUGAAACCCAAAGAAUUUGGCGGUGUUUUAGUCCUUUCAGAGGAAUCUGUUCUGUAAUUGAUAAUACACGAUUUAUGUGACUUGGUUUUGUUAUCAGUUUAUAUACCGCCGUCAGUAAGAUUAUCUUGUUGAGAGUAUAAAAUUUCAUUAUAUUUGAUAUGUAUAUUAUGUCAGGUCAAGGUGUAGCUAAUAAUCAAGUAGAGAUGGAUUACAAUAAAAAUAUUUAUAUGGAUAAUGUUUUGAAUAAUUUAUUUGAAGGUGGAUUUGAUUGUAAAUUAAUAUAAAUUGAUUAAUUGAUUAGGGCUCUAGAAUGUGUACAUAUCGCCCGUCGCUCUCGUUUUAAGAUGAG